rnacentral:rRNA from 1 species
CUAGUGAGAAAGUAACUGCCCGUACCGCAAACCGACACAGGUAGUUGAGGAGAGAAUCCUAAGGUGUGCGAGAGAACUCUCGUUAAGGAACUCGGCAAAAUGACCCCGUAACUUCGGGAGAAGGGGUGCUGACCGCAAGGUCAGCCGCAGUGAAUAGGCCCAAGCGACUGUUUAUCAAAAACACAGGUCUCUGCAAAAUCGAAAGAUGACGUAUAGGGGCUGACGCCUGCCCGGUGCUGGAAGGUUAAGAGGAGAGGUUAGCGCAAGCGAAGCUUUGAAUUGAAGCCCCAGUAAACGGCGGCCGUAACUAUAACGGUCCUAAGGUAGCGAAAUUCCUUGUCGGGUAAGUUCCGACCCGCACGAAAGGCGUAACGAUUUGGGCACUGUCUCAACGAGGGACUCGGUGAAAUUAUAGUACCAGUGAAGAUGCUGGUUACCCGCGACAGGACGGAAAGACCCCAUGGAGCUUUACUGCAGUUUGAUAUUGCGUGCUUGUAUCACAUGUACAGGAUAGGUAGGAGCCGAAGAUACUGGGACGCCAGUCUCGGAGGAGGCAACGGUGGGAUACUACCCUUGUGAUAUGACCACUCUAACCCGCUGCUCUUAGCGAGCAGGGAGACAGUGUCAGACGGGCAGUUUGACUGGGGCGGUCGCCUCCAAAAAUGUAACGGAGGCGCCCAAAGGUUCCCUCAGAAUGGUUGGAAAUCAUUCGUAGAGUGUAAAGGCAGAAGGGAGCUUGACUGCGAGACCUACAAGUCGAGCAGGGACGAAAGUCGGGCUUAGUGAUCCGGUGGUUCCGCAUGGAAGGGCCAUCGCUCAACGGAUAAAAGCUACCCUGGGGAUAACAGGCUUAUCUCCCCCAAGAGUUCACAUCGACGGGGAGGUUUGGCACCUCGAUGUCGGCUCAUCGCAUCCUGGGGCUGUAGUCGGUCCCAAGGGUUGGGCUGUUCGCCCAUUAAAGCGGUACGCGAGCUGGGUUCAGAACGUCGUGAGACAGUUCGGUCCCUAUCCGUCGCGGGCGUUGGAAAUUUGAGAGGAGCUGUCCUUAGUACGAGAGGACCGGGAUGGACACACCGCUGGUGUACCAGUUGUUCUGCCAAGAGCAUCGCUGGGUAGCUAUGUGUGGACGGGAUAAACGCUGAAAGCAUCUAAGCGUGAAGCCCCCCUCAAGAUGAGAUUUCCCAUCACUUUAAGUGAGUAAGACCCCUGAGAGAUGAUCAGGUAGAUAGGUUGGGGGUGGAAGUACAGCGAUGUAUGGAGCGGAC